AUCAGGCUGCACUCUGGCCCACAUCCUGGCUGCUGUGUAUCACGUGGCUCUAGACACUGCACUUUUGCCUCCUCAUCAUUGCUGUAGAUAGGAUUUCUGACAGCAGGGUCAUUAGACGAAUUUUUUUUUUUUUUUGAGACGGAGUCUCGCUCUGUCGCCCAGGCUGGAGGGCAGUGGCGCAAUCUCUGCUCACUGCAAGCUCCGCCUCCCGGGUUCACACAAUUCUCCUGCCUCAGCCUCCCGAAUAGCUGGGACUACAGGUGCCUGCAACCAUGCCUGGCUAAUUUUUUUUGUAUUUUUAGUAGAGACGCGGUUUCACCAUGUUAGCCAGGAUGGUCUCGAUCUCCUGACCUCGUGAUCCUCCCGCCUAGGCCUCCCAAAGUGCUGGGAUUACAGGCGUGAGCCACCGCGCCCGGCCCCAUUAGACAAAUUUGUAUCUGCACGGUUCCUACAGAUAAACUCUGGGACAUUAGAAUUAUAAGGCUUUUGUUUAAGGAUGGUUUCAGAUGUUUUUCAGACCUUGAAUUCCAGCCAAAUAGCUGACACUAACCAGUUUGAAGACCCCAGUGAGGAAUGGGAUCAGCAUGAGAACACUGCGUCUUCAUGCCCCUGUCUCCGCCAGCAGUCAGCAUGGCCACACUCUGGCCCACACCAAAACACUUAAAAACCCUAGCCCCGGCCGGGUGCAGAGGCUCACACCUGUAACUCCAGCACUUUGGGAGGCCAAGGCAGGUGAAUCACCUGAGGUCAAGAGUUCAAGACCAGCCUGGCCAACAUAGUGAAACCCCGUUUCUACUAAAAACACAAAAAAUUAGUCGGGCGUGGUAGCGGGUGCCUGUAACCCCAGCUACUCAGGAGGCUGAGGCAAGAGAAUUACUUGAACCUGGGAGGCGGAGGUUGCAGUGAGCAAAGAUCCUGCCACUGCACUCCAGCCUGGGUGACAAAGCAAAACUCCAUCUC
rnacentral:lncRNA from 1 species